rnacentral:rRNA from 1 species
CAGUCGCCGCGGUAACACGUAGGGUGCGAGCGUUAAUCGGAAUUACUGGGCGUAAAGCGUGCGCAGGCGGUUUUGUAAGACAGGCGUGAAAUCCCCGGGCUCAACCUGGGAACUGCGCUUGUGACUGCACAGCUAGAGUAUGGCAGAGGGAGGUGGAAUUCCACGUGUAGCAGUGAAAUGCGUAGAGAUGUGGAGGAACACCGAUGGCGAAGGCAGCCACCUGGGCCAAUACUGACGCUCAUGCACGAAAGCGUGGGGAGCAAACAGGAUUAGAUACCCCUGUAGUCCCUGUCUCUUAUAC